rnacentral:rRNA from 1 species
UCGAUAGCUGGUCUGAGAGGAUGAUCAGCCACAUUGGGACUGAGACACGGCCCAAACUCCUACGGGAGGCAGCAGUGGGGAAUAUUGGACAAUGGGCGCAAGCCUGAUCCAGCCAUGCCGCGUGAGUGAUGACGGCCUUAGGGUUGUAAAGCUCUUUCGCUCGGGACGAUAAUGACGGUACCGAGAUAAGAAGCCCCGGCUAACUUCGUGCCAGCAGCCGCGGUAAUACGAAGGGGGCUAGCGUUGUUCGGAAUUACUGGGCGUAAAGCGCGUGUAGGCGGGUCUUUAAGUCAGGGGUGAAAUGCCAAGGCUCAACCUUGGAACUGCCUUUGAUACUGAAGAUCUUGAGUCCGGGAGAGGUGAGUGGAAUUGCGAGUGUAGAGGUGAAAUUCGUAGAUAUUCGCAAGAACACCAGUGGCGAAGGCGGCUCACUGGCCCGGAACUGACGCUGAGACGCGAAAGCGUGGGGAGCAAACAGGAUUAGAUACCCUGGUAGUCCACGCUGUAAACGAUGGAUGCUAGCCGUUGGGGAGCUUGCUCUUCAGUGGCGCAGCUAACGCUUUAAGCAUCCCGCCUGGGGAGUACGGUCGCAAGAUUAAAACUCAAAGGAAUGA